GUAGAUUUCAAGCGAGGUAAAGUGAAUCUAAAUCGAAACUGAAAUUUGGAAAACAAAUAUGUCGCACUUCUCUUUCUCGAAGCUGAAAAAUCGGUGAAAUCGGCGUGAAAAAAUGAGUUCCAAGGAGAAUCCUCCAAAGAAAAAAGGAUGCGACAAAGGCAUCGUGAAGAGGUUUAAAAUGAGACUUGACCUCAUAUUUGACUACAAUGGCUUAGUUAAUCAAGGAGCAACCUGUUAUUUGAACAGUGUUCUGCAGGUCCUCUUCAUGACUAAGGACUUCAGAGAGGCUGUGGAAAGUCACUGUGGUCAAGAUCAGAAGACUGCUGAUUUUCACCUGAAAAGCCUUUUUAAGGCAUUGAAGACAAGUGAAACUCACACAAAGGACAUCUUAUCCAUACUUGGCAUUGGAAAUGUUUACGAGCAACGGGAUGCUGCUGAAUAUUUUGAGAAUAUUUUAAGCAUGGUCACUCCUUAUGUGUCUCAGAUCUUCAAAGGACAUUUGAGACACACAAUGAGAUGUUCAGAAGGUCAUGUGACCAGUGUUGAAACUGGUCCAUUCUGGACUCUGCCACUCUCAAUAGAAAAUCCAUCAGACUCAAACAAAACCUACAGUGUGAGGGAUGGUUUUGAGAAGUUUUUCAAGUCUUCAACUGUCAGUGAGAUGUAUUGCGACCAAUGCAAUGAGAAAACCUAUUCAACCAUUGCAUGUAAAAUGGAACAUCACCCAGAGAUUCUGACUCUGCUCCUCAAGAGGUUUGAGUUUGACUACCACAGUAUGUCAUAUACCAAAAAUGACUGCUGUGUUGAAGUUCCUCACACGUUACGGACAAAGACCUUUUCUCUGAACAGAACUGUGACUAUGAACUCUAUGCAGUUGUGGACCAUGUGGGAAGUCUAAGAGGUGGACAUUACACUGCUAGAAUCAAGUCCUAUGAUGAUCACAACUGGUAUGUGUUCGAUGACAGCUACGUCAGACAGCCCAAUCCACAAUCAAUCAGUCAUAUGAAUAAUGAAAGAUCCCAGAGUGUGUAUCUGCUUAUGUACAAGAAAUCACAUGCUCCGGAUCAACCAGGAGAAGAGGAAAUUAAGAAAAGAGGAGGAAUUAAAGUGUAUGGAAGAGGAAUGGAAGAAAAUAGAAGAAGAAUUGAGGAGAAUAAAAGAGGAAUGGAAUCAAAUUAAAGCGGAAUUGAAGAAAAUAAUCAAUGUAGAAUCACAUAGUAUAGCAUUGCAAUUGGAGAGAAUAUAUGUGGAAUUCAAGACAUGGAUAGAACACAAUGGAAGAGGCAUUGAUGACAUUCCUCAACACUCCAUGACAAUAAGAGAGACAGUGAAGAUGAUAGAAGAGGAAGAGAAGAGAAUAUACAACAUUGACGAGUAUAGAAGAGAAAUUGAAAUUAAUACAAAAGAAAUUGAAAUGUAUAGAAGAGGGAUUGAAAAACAUAGAGGAGGACUUGAAGAGCAUAGAAGAGGAAUUGAAAAGUAUAGAAAAGGAAUUGGAGAGUAUAGAAGAGAAAGUGAAGGGUAUGGAACAGGAAUGAAAUAUAAUAGAA